rnacentral:lncRNA from 13 species
GAAGGUCAUUCCCCUACUGAGAGGAAGAGGACUGAAGGUGAUUCACCUACAGAGAGAGAGGACUGAAGGUGAUCCACCUACAGAGAGAGAGGACUGAAGGUGAUUCACCUACAGAGAGAGAGGACUGAAGGUGAUUCACCUACUGAGAGAGGAAGGACUGAAGGUCAUUCCCCUACUGAGAGGAAGAGGACUGAAGGUGAUUCACCUACUGAGAGAGGAAGGACUGAAGGUCAUUCCCCUACUGAGAGGAAGAGGACUGAAGGUCAUUCAUCUACUGAAAGAGAGUGGACUGGUCAUUCACACGCAGUCAGAGGGAUAACGUUUAAUNNNNNNNNNNUGGCCGACAGUGGGAGGGGAUGGCCAAGAGAGCGAUGGGGGUGGGAGAAACCUCUGGGUUGCUGCUGGUUUCCCCAGGCCCUCAACUUCUGUUGGGUGGGGACACACCUAACAAGACUCAGGACUGGGUACAGGAGGAGGUGGGGAGGAGGUGGGGAGUUUUUUGUUUGGGGACUCAGCCUCCCCUAUUUUUUUCCAAACCAGGGCACCCUGGAGCCAAACACUAUUCCUGCAUCCUGGGUUGGUGAGAUGGAGGAAGAGGGGGGGACGUCGGGAGUACGGAUGGUGUUAUCACCGGUAGAUAUAGAGCAGGGGAGCAUCGGGUGAGUCUCCUGUUUUUGUUUUUUUCUGUCUGGGUUUAGAAUUUGAGUGUAUUACAUGUUUUUAUUUUAUUCUUUCAUGGGGUCUGAUUUAACUUUUGUUAGUUUAAAUGUAAGGGGUUUAAGGGAUUUUGUUAAGAGGAGGGCGGUUUUUAGUUAUUUGGAGGGUGUGGGGUUUGAUUUUUGUUUUUUACAGGAUGUUCACCUGAGGGAUGGAGGGGAUGUUAGUAGGUUUAAGAAGGAGUGGGACAAGGGGGAGUCGGUUUGGGG